rnacentral:rRNA from 1 species
CUUCGGUAAAAUGGAAACCGGCGAACGGGUGAGUAACGCGUACACAAUCUACCCUUAACAGGGGGAUAGCCUCGGGAAACUGAGAUUAAUACCCCAUAAUAUUGACAGUUUGCAUAAUAAGUCAAUUAAAGUUCAGGCGGUUAAGGAUGAGUGUGCGUCCCAUUAGCUAGUUGGUGAGGUAACGGCUCACCAAGGCGACGAUGGGUAGGGGGCGUGAGAGCGUGGUCCCCCACACGGGUACUGAGACACGGACCCG